rnacentral:tRNA from 2 species
GUGGCCGAGUAGGUGGCAGGUUGUAGCCCUGUGCAGGCGGGUUUAAUCCCGUCCUUAUCAA